GGGGAAGUAUUGCACAAUGGGCGGCAAGCCUGAUGCAGCCAUGCCGCGUGUGUGAAGAAGGCCUCGGGUUGUAAAGCACUUUCAGCGGGGAGGAAGGCGGUGAGGUUAAUAACCUUGUCGAUUGACGUUACCCGCAGAAGAAGCACCGGCUAACUCCGUGCCAGCAGCCGCGGUAAUACGGAGGGUGCAAGCGUUAAUCGGAAUUACUGGGCGUAAAGCGCACGCAGGCGGCCUGUCAAGUCGGAUGUGAAAUCCCCGGGCUCAACCUGGGAACUGCAUUCGAAACUGGCAGGCUAGAGUCUUGUAGAGGGGGGUAGAAUUCCAGGUGUAGCGGUGAAUGCGUUAGAGAUCUGGAGGAAUACCGGUGGCGAAGGCGG
rnacentral:rRNA from 1 species